AGACCACAAGCAGGGAGAGCAGCAGAGGGAGAGGGAGAGGGAGAGGCAGACUCGUCACGGAGCAGGGAGCCUAAUGCAAAGCUCCAUUGCAGGAUCCUGGGAUCAUGACCUGAGCCGAAGGCAGGCGCUUAACCAACUGAGCCACCCAGGCACCAUCAGCUGGGUUUUCAAAAGUUUAAUGAAACCUAUAUGCAAAUAUAUGUUCACAGAGGUAGAGAUCCAUCUGAUUGGAAGCCAACGUGAAACCACCAUGUUGGAGACUGCCAAUUUGGAGCCAAGAGAGUGCCUGCAGGAAAGCCAUCCCAGAGAAACCCUGAAGAGGCAGUCAGCUUUGGGAAGCAACAACACAUUUGCUUCUGCUCCAGUGUCCUGAGGAGCCUGUGCCCAAUGGUAUCAACAGUAGGGUUUCCACAUGAGCAAUCCAGCACUAAUAUUACUCUGCUGCCUGCACGGCCUCCCUUGCGGGUUCCCGGGACUCUCCUGAAGAUUCUGUGAGUUGUCUGAUAUCCUUGGUAAAUUUCUUUUCUGCUUAAACCCUCUGGAAUAGGCUCCGUUGUACCUUAUCACAAUAAAUACUGGCUUAGCAGCUAAUUGGUGUGGAUUUUUAUAAAGAGAUUAGUGUUUGCAUUAUGUGGAAAGUUGAAUUAUCUCUGAUGUCACUCUCAAAUUUAUGAUUCUAUGAAUAAAAGUGGUAAGGGAUGGAAUAUAGGAAAACUCGGUGAGUAAAUUUGACUAGUGUCCUAUAAACAACAUGGAAUUACUUUUCCACUAUAGGUGAUUUAAAAACUUAAAGGAGAGGAGUGCCUGGCUGGCUCAGUUGGUAGAUCAUGCAACUCUUGAUUUCAGAGUUGUGAGUUCACACCCCAUGUUGGGUGCAGAGAUUACUUAAAAUUAAAAACUUUAAGGGGCGCCUAGGUGGCUCAGGAGUUUGAGCUUCUGCCUUUGGCUCAGGUCAUGAUUUCAGAGUCCUGGGAUAGAAAUCAGCAUCAAGCUCCCUUCUCAGUGGGGAGCCUGCUUGACCCUUUCCCUCUGCCCCUCACUUGUUCUCUCUCCCUCUAAAAAAAAUUUUAAAAGUUAAAAAUAAUAAAAAAUAAAAACCUUAAGGGGAACCUGGGUGGUUCAGUCAGUUUAGUCUCUGACUCUUGAUUUCAGAUCUUGAUUUUGGGGUCCUGAGUUCAAGCCCUGCAUUGGGCUCCACAGUAGGUGUGGAGCCUACUUAAAAAAUAAAUGAAUAAAUAAAACAUAAAUAAAUUUAAGUAAAAAUAAACAAAUGUUUAAGGGAGAGUAUAGGGGAGAUGGUGAGAACAAGCUUUAACUAAUAUACCAUCAUUAGUUAAAUAACAAAUUCUAUAGGUCAAUCACCCUGCCUAUCCACUCAGUUCUUUUUUUACAAUGCAAAUAUUUUGGAAAAAGCAACUUAGAACAGUUCUACUGCCUAUGUUUGAUUUAAUCUAUAAAUUUAACAGUAACAAACAGGUGUGAAAAACACAAACUUGGGAUGCCUGGGUGGCUCAAAGGUUGGUCCCUUUGCCUUUGGCUCAGGGUGUGAUCCCGGGGUACAGGGAUCAAGUCCCGCAUCAGGUUCCUUGCGUGGAGCCUGCUUCUCCCUCUGCCUGUGUCUCUGCCUCUCUCUGUCUCUGUGUCUGUCAUGAAUAAAUAAAUAAAAUCUUAAAAAAACACACACACACGAACUUUCUUCAUUUCUCUAUAUAUCAGGUUGCUCUCUGUUACAACUUCCAUGUCAGUGGAUGGCAGAAAACGCAUCUCUGAGCCCUCGGUCCAGCCAGGUGUAUAAUUUAAUCACAUUCCACCCUAAAACUCCCGUGGUCAUUUUUCUUGCUGCUUUACUUCUCGGAUGUAUCCUAAGUUUCAGGAGGCUGUCUCUAUCAGUAAUGAGGAGGCUCAGCACACUCUUCUCAGCUCAGUUCUUGUAUGGAAUUUGUUGCUGUUGUCCUCUUGAGUGUUCCCUGGGCUCAGGUGAUGUGCAAAUUCCCUUUCCUGAUGUGGAGCCCAGCUAGCUGCCUGAGGGCCCCAGCCUGCUAAGAUGUCACUCUCUUCUCCUGUUCAAAGGUAGCAGUCUACAUGUCAGUCUUCAGAGGUGUGUUUUCUACCCCUGGAUGACAGACUGAUGCUCUCUCUGCUUCUCCCACCUCUGCCACAGAGGGCUGGGAAUCUCAGACCUCCUUGAUGCUACAGGGAGGCCCCUGGAAGGGGUCUUCCUUCUUCCAACCAUGGGAGGCCCUAGAUUUCUGGGUAAUUGAACUCAGGAGUGCUGAGAAUGGUCUUGAGAGAAAAAGCAAGCAGGGCUUGCUAGUUGGUGUCUAAGAUAAUUGAUCCACCAUACUAUUGAGGAUGGGUCUGGAUUUGCCUAUAUAUGUUUGAAACAUAAGCAUGAUGUUUUUCUAGUUUUUAGAAAGUUGAUUCCACAAAAGUACUUCUGUAUGCAACUAAUGAGCUAAUUAAUUACUUCUUGGCUCAAUGGACAACAUAUAGCAAAGCUCUGGAUGGGAUGUACUUCUGUCCCACUUGAACUAAUUAAAUUGCAUUUAUCGGGAUCCCUGGG
rnacentral:lncRNA from 1 species